rnacentral:rRNA from 1 species
GACGAACGCUGGCGGCGUGCUUAACACAUGCAAGUCGAACGAUGAAGCCAGCUUGCUGGUGGAUUAGUGGCGAACGGGUGAGUAACACGUGGGUGAUCUGCCCUGUACUUUGGGAUAAGCCUGGGAAACUGGGUCUAAUACCGAAUAUGACCACAGAAUGCAUGUUUUGUGGUGGAAAGCUCCGGCGGUAUGGGAUGGGCCCGCGGCCUAUCAGCUUGUUGGNGGGUAAUGGCCUACCAAGCGACGACGGUAGCCGGCCUGAGAGGGCGACCGGCCACACUGGGACUGAGACACGGCCCAGACUCCUACGGGAGGCAGCAGUGGGGAAUAUUGCACAAUGGGCGCAAGCCUGAUGCAGCGACGCCGCGUGAGGGAUGACGGCCU